GGCACCGCGACCGGCCGGGCCGUGAUUAAGCACUUCUGUGUUUAUCUACAGCCGGCCGGGGGAGCACCGGGCUUGUUGCUUAAUUAAAACGUUGGCGGCCGAGACGAGCGGAGUUUCCGCGUAGGGACGGCCCCGGAUUGUAAGUAAAAGCUCUACGUGCUGUUCCGCCCCGCUCCCGAGAAUGCGGUGCUGGGAAAAGUGUGAAAAUGAGCAUUGUUGUCGUGAGGGGAAUCCUCGCGCCGAGGCUGAAGGAAUGGCCCCGAGUAUUUCCCACAGCGAGGGGACAGCCCGCAGAGCCGCUCACUAAUCUGAGGGAAGAAGGCAGAAAGGUCAGGGGACUGGCCACAGAGAGCACUCAGAGCUAAGCCUAGAAAGCAGACUUCGUGUUUCCCACGCCUACGUAGCAACAACUAGACUUGGCUUGCCUACACCAGAAAAUAGACUGGCAUAGCUGGAGCUGGGUAAUUAUACCGUAACAGUUUAUGCUGGAAUAACUCUCCUUGCGGACACUCUCCUCCAGAUGGAAAGUGACUUCCCAAAAACUGUCCAAAUGAAUUCACUCAGCAGCCCACACUUGGAGUUUUGUCUUUCUCCCCCCACCUCCCCUUCCCCUCUUCAUUUUGGGGGGUAAAAAUUCCUGAGAUGUGGGUCUCAGCAGCAUUUUGAAGCCUUUGAUCACUUUUACAGACCAUUAAAAGCGGGGACAAAUGCAAAACAUGUCAUUGAAAUGCUACAAGUCUUGUUGUCAAGAUUUUUAUGGUGCUUUUCAUCAAAAUGUUGAAAACUGAAAGCUUCCAGCUGGCUCUCCUUACAGGUAAUAACUUAAUAGCUAACAGCUUUUCUCCCAAAGCUGCUGGAACCUGCUUGAGCCAUGGAAGCUGAUGGGAAAAGCCAGACCCAUCCUCUACAGUAAAUAUUUUCUGAUUUUUUUAAUCCUGCUGCUCUGCAAGUUUUUGAAACCAAAUGAAGCUGUGAAAACAAGGAGGAGUGACCAAGGGAAAAGUACGGGGCAGGGAAUAAAGUGACAGGACUUGGCUUUGUAGAUCAGCUUGCUGAGUCCAAGGGCUGCAGGGAUGAGAGCAUCCCCCUACAGCAACACAGGGCUGAAUCACUGGUUUCAAGGCAGAACUUGGCUCUGGGCUGUAGCAAGAGCUCCACAGUGAUUUACACUGCCCAGCUCAGCAGAGCUGCUGUGGUGAUCUUGAGGGCCAAAUGACAGCUUGGGGAUCAAGAGAGCCUGAUUUACAUCCAACAGUGACCAGAGGUCCUCUGCGUGAUUUUGGCCAAGCCAUUAUUGCGCUGUGUUUCAGUUCUGCAUUUCUGAAACAGCAGUUAACACAAUGAGACUGCCAAGCAGUGUCCCAAGAGCAGUUCUCAGCUUUGCCACAUUACAGAGGUCCCUCUGGCACAACUCUGAGCCAUUCCUGGAGCUCCCGGGAGCCCCUUUCCACUGCCAUCCACAGGGCCUGAGCUCUGCCUGCCCUGGGUCAGUGUCCUGCCACACAAGUCCAGCUGUCCCCGGGGUCACAGGCUGUGCCAGCAACCACCUACUCAAGAGCUGUGAUGUCCUCAGCACUUGCUCAGUCUCCCUGGGCCUUGGUUCCCCUCCUGUGUACUGGAGAUAACUCCCUGAUCUCACAGGAGAGUUUAAUUUCUCAUCCUUUGACAGCAAUGUGUUUUGAUGGGCUCAGCCUGUUUUCAGCUAAAUAUUUAAACAUUUAACCUGUAUAUAUGUGUGUAUAUAUGCACAUGCACAUGUGAAUUAUUAUUCAAAACCUCCAUCAUGCUUUUUAUGUAAAUCUGUUUUCAACUUUCUAAUUUCCCUUUUUUAUAUGCCUGUAUUAGGACAAGGUACUCUAGGAGUUCACUCUCAAAACCUUCUGUUGGAUGUUCACGUAAAUUGUAGCUCCAGACUUCUGUAUACUUAGUAAAUGAAAAGACGCUGUGCCACACUGUUGCCUCGGACAGCACGGAGCAGGGCAGAGCAGCAGACCCCUGCUUUGGCUCUCUUGCUGUUAGGCUGAGCCCCCUCUUCCCUUCCCACUGAAGGGGCACUUUGAACUUGAACUGGAUCCAGUCCCAAUAUACUUUGAAGAGGACAAACACAAACCUUCCUUUACUUAACUGUGCGUUGGGCAAUCUAAAAACCAUAUAAGCACUAAUCUAUUCAUUAUUCCAUCUCCUCCUCUUCCCUACAAUGAAGCACUGUUUUAUGCUCAUAUGUAUCAAUAAAUGGACCUAUAAAGAAAAUAAUGAACAUCCUUGAAUACCUUCUAUUAAUUUUAAAAGGGAUGCAACAUACUGCACCCCCUUGUAUUUCACCAAGAUAAAAGCCUGUAGAUUAAUUCCUAUUAAAACAGUUGGUAUUUUCAGGAUAUGCAGAUGUAAUUUAUGGAGAGGCAUAAUACUCAUAUUAGCUCAAAGGCUACAGAAACUGUAGAUCUGUGUCUGUUACUGUAGUUGUACAGGCAUUCAUUGUACAGAGAGCAGUUGGAAAGGCAGAGUAUGUAAUCUGAAUACUAAAUUUCUGAAUAGUUUCUCACUUGGGCUGGUUAGGCUUUUCAAGCGCAGCGGAUGCUUUGUGGGGGACUUUGUAAAACAUUCUGCUAAUAUAUCACAUGGUUCCUGUAUUUUCUUCUCUUAUCUUUACUGUCAGAGCUUUAUUCACGAAGACACAAUAUUUGAUUCUUAAAAGGGCACCAGCUCCUGCUCUGUGCUCUCCACCUGAAUUCAGUGUGCUCCGUGUGAGACUAUUUUUUACAACAAAUACUUCUUCCUUUCUCUAUAAAGUGGACAGCUUUAGGUGUAUAUAACCCAGAAGUAUACAAGAAACAGAUCUUUUACCUCACCCUCACAUAUUCCAAUUGCUAUAUCCAAGUUACUUGGAAAAUUGUAUUUUCUUUUUUAUCAUCCACAAUAAAAGUGUACAGAUUUUGUCUUUUA